AGUAACGCGUGGAUAACCUGCCUCACACUGGGGGAUAACAGUUAGAAAUGACUGCUAAUACCGCAUAAGCGCACAGUACCGCAUGGUACAGUGUGAAAAACUCCGGUGGUGUGAGAUGGAUCCGCGUCUGAUUAGCCAGUUGGCGGGGUAACGGCUCACCAAAGCGACGAUCAGUAGCCGACCUGAGAGGGUGACCGGCCACAUUGGGACUGAGACACGGCCCAA
rnacentral:rRNA from 1 species